CAUCCUUACAUGUAUAGUUUCAUACCUGUAUAGUCUUUAGAUGUCUCUCAUUUGGUGUGAUUCUUGGGUGUUACAUGCUCACCCCAUCUCCUUUCUUGCCUAAUAGAUUAAUUAAGCUGUUUUGUUGUUUAUUGAUCAGUCACGUUUUAUAUUUUUGUAAGACAAAAGUUGAUUCUCAUCUGAUCUCACUUCCAUUUGGUUCUUCAUAUUGGUAUGACACAGAUGCAGGUGGUAUGAGCUGCGCUACUAGGUUUGUCAGUGUAAAGGUUGGGCUUUUGGGUACUACUCUAUUCCAGAUAUAUAAUUACAUUUCCUACGCUUUAAUCCAGUUGACAAGUAGACAGUCAUAACAAAAACAUUGAGAGUAAGCAAAAGGGCACUAGUGCAGGUAAUUAGUGCACUACACAUGGUUGAUAUUUAAUUUGUUGUUUCCCUGUACAAUGUUAGCUCUUACAGAAUUUGUUAGCAUAUCUUCAGGAAGACAUAUAGAAUAUGGAUCACUCCAUCAUUGAUAAAUUUGUUGAUUGUGGCCUUUGAUCCCUUGUUGUUUCAAACAAAUGAGUUGAACUUGUGAUUGUGUGAAUACACCCCUUCUUCAAAUGAUGGUUUUUGUGGCAAAUUAGUUUGAUUCAGAAAGUGCCAGAAAAAGCAAAGAGAGGGCAGUGGCAAUUUGUGGGUUUGUUGCCUCUAUUUGACCCACCAAGGCAUGACAUUGCCGAGACCAUAAGACGUGCUAUUAUGACUGUUGUCUUCUUCUAGGCGCUGCUCUUACAUCGAAUUUCUUCACGGACAUAUUUGGCGUGAGAUCUAUCAAGAACAACCACCGUGAGCUCAUAGCAGUUGUUUAUCUUCAAGUAUUGUAAGUCAGGCUUUCAUUGCUACACAGUCAAGGAGCUGGACUUACAUUGAAAUGGGUUUGUUUUCCUAAUAUUCUUACUCUUGCAUAGAAACCACACAUUAAUGAUUGUUGAUAUUUUGUUUUAUGGAUUAUUUCUUAGAUAGCCAUGAUCAUAGCUGUGUAUGUGAAUUGGGGCUUUGCAAGGAUUGAAUGGAGUCAGGCAGGUGCCAUUUGGCUCUAUAGCAUCAUUUAAUUUCUACAUACCGUUGGAUAUAUUCAAGUUCAUCAUCCAAUAUGGAUUUACAGACAAGGCAUGGAAAUAUAAUCGAGAUCAGGGCAACAUCUUAAUCUCUGCCAAAUUUGUUGCUCAAUCUGACUGUUUUUCAGUGUUGUGAUGCAGGUUGCUUUCACCUCAAAGAAGGAUUAUGGAAAAGGAGGGAGAGAGAGAGAGAAGCACAAGCUGAAGCUCAACACAGUUUACAUGGUCUGAAUCCUCUUGAAAUGGUCAAAAUCUUGAAUGAAGAAAACAACUAUAGAGAACUGUUUUAACAGGCUAGGAAAUGUGCUGAAGUUGCAAGGUUAAGGGAGCUUCACAGUUUACACACUAAAGGGCCAUAUCAAGUCUGUUGUGAAACUCCAGGGACUUGACAUUGAGACAUUUCAGCAGCACUACACCGUUUGAGUGACUCAAGUUCUGCGCAAAAGAGAGAUUUUGAAGACAAGAUAAAAGCAGCACUUAUUCUUUGUACAUUGUCAUUAUUAUUUUUCACCUCAUGAAUCAUGAUGACAAUGAACUGUGAUCUUUUGAUUGCUUUUAGAAUAUGUCUUCAAUAUUUUGUUAUAUCCUUCUUCAAUACUUUCCCUGGAGAGAGAGAUAAGACUUUAGUUUUUUUUGUCAAUUAUAAGACUUUAGUUACUGCAAAUAAAUAAAUACCAAAUCUCAGUUUUCUUGA